GUGUCAGUCAAGAGGCAACACUAGGAGGCAAGGAAUCUGCAUUUCUUUCAGACCUUGGCAGAGAGCGCCCUGGGAAAUGCGGAUAUAGAAGGUCAGGAGAACAUCUCUCCUGGUUAUACAGCAUUCCAGGACUCCUCAUCUGUUUUUAAGAGGGAAAUCUGAGUUUUCAAGGAAAGCCGAAUACAGUUGCCAAGUUGCCAGUCAAAGAAACAAUGUCAACACCUGCUCAUAGAGAUGGAAUUCCUAACCCGGAAUAUUGCCCUUGAAUUACAACGAGAAAAAGAACACUUCUUAUUCCUGUAGCACCUCUUCAAGUGAGAUGGCAGACCACCUCAGGAUGGAAAUGUAUUUCUUCAUCCCCCUCUCUACUUCCCUGUGACCUCCUGCAAAUAAGGGAGAGACAAAGAGAAGAGCAGAAGAACAGAAGAAUGGAGUGGCAAAGAGAAGAGAAGGAGUGACUGAACAUUGACAAGACUUUGGUUGGGGAUGGUCAGAGAGGAGAUUAGCUGCUAGACGGCCACACUGCGGAGAAAGAUCAUUUUCCCACUCCAUCCCCCUUCCAGCUCCCCAUCCAUCUCACCAAGAGCCAGCUCCACCACUCAAUAAAACCUUACAUUCAUCUUUCAA
rnacentral:lncRNA from 1 species